rnacentral:lncRNA from 10 species
UUGGGGGAGGGUGAGAGGAAGGAGAGGAGCAGGAAAGGUAACUAUUGGUUACUGGGCUUAAUACUUGGGUGAUGAAAUAACACACACAGCAAAGCCCUGUAACACUUGUUUAUGUAUGUACAAAAGUUUCACAUAUACCCCCAAACCUAAAAAAAAAAAAAAAAAAAAAGGAAAGUGUGCUUACGAGCUCUGUGAGUCUGCUGAAAUGAUGGUAGACGACAAGCUGUCCUCAAUCAUUCGCCCCCCGCUCCCCAGCCAAUUUUCUCUGUGCAACAGUGGCUAUUUACUUUGGUUACAAGAUAAAAUUUAUGUAAGUGGUUGAGCCUAGACUUAGGGGCACUAGUUUCAGAAAAAAAUGAAACUAUAUAUAUUUCCAUGUUUUUUCCAAGGCCAAGAGUAGUUUUGUCCUAAGACAACAGUAAUCAGUAUUUUUUGCUUUUGUUUUGUUUUGGUUUUCUUUAUACUCUUUAACUACUUUUUACUUUUCACAUACCUUACUCUCUUGUACUAUGAAAACUUAUUGAAGACUCCAAAGAGGUUUUACUUCUAGGUUGUAAAUGUCAGUACUCACUGUUGGAAACUGAAACAGAACCACUACAAUGCUUAUUGAAACUGAAACAGAACCACUACAAUGCUUAUUUAAUGAUGCCAAGGAAGAUAGCAAAGAUAAAAGCAUUGCAUAUUAAUAACAUCUCGGUAAUAGGAUGAAGUUAUUUCUGGCCUCAGAAACAGCCCUGAGACCUGUCCGAAAAUCAAGUGUCAUUUUGUUCCACAUAUGAAAGAGCAGAACCACAGACACAACUUGGAAAGUAAAACUCAUCUGCCUUGGUUUUUAUAAUGCCUGAAUCUGGAAAUCUAUAAAACCUGUUAAGAUACUAGCAAAGCUUUCUCAAUUUUGAUGAGCUUAUUUUCUUUGUUUACUGACUAAUAUCUUCAUCUGCAAUAUAAAGUGUUACCAUUUUUGUUGUGUGUAAUCUGUCUAGAUAAUAAAGAUUUUCUUUUCACCAGA